rnacentral:lncRNA from 1 species
ACACUAGCCCACCCUACCUGUGAGGGAAAUCAGUUUCAGUGUCAGACUGAUGGCGAAUGUAUUCCACAGUCAUGGGUUUGUGAUGAUGAGGAGGACUGUGAAGAUGGCUCAGAUGAGCAUCAACAAUGUCCGGGAAGGACGUGCUCAAGUGAGCAGUUCACAUGUUCCAAUGGACAGUGUGUCCCGAGCACAUACUGGUGCGAUCGAGUAGAGGACUGCAUUGAUGGAACAGAUGAAAGAGCCUGCCACUACCCAAGAUGCGAACAGUUAUCAUGUGCAAAUGGAGCAUGUUUUAAUGCAAGCCAGCGAUGUGAUGGCAAAGUUGAUUGCAGAGAUUCUUCUGAUGAAGCUAAUUGCACCCAUGGCUGUACCAGCACGCAGUUUCAGUGUGCUAAUGGAGAAUGCAUCCCUCGAGCCUUCAUCUGUGACCAUGAUGAUGACUGUGGAGACAGGAGUGAUGAAAACUCUUGCACUUAUGCAACUUGCAGAGGCAACUUCUUCACUUGCCCGAGUGGCCGCUGCAUUCAUCAGAGCUGGAUAUGCGAUGGAGAUGAUGACUGUGAAGAUAAUGAAGAUGAAAGAGGAUGUGAAAGUGGUCGCCAUGAGUGCUACCCAGGAGAGUGGGCUUGCCCUGGGUCAGGGCAUUGCAUUCCAAUUGGAAAAGUGUGUGAUGGGACUGCAGACUGCCCAGAAGGAGAGGAUGAAACUAACAUCACCGCAGGCAGACAUUGCAACGUAUCCCGCUGCCCUGCUCUGAGUUGCCAGUAUCGCUGUC